rnacentral:rRNA from 1 species
AUUGAACGCUGGCGGCAGGCUUAACACAUGCAAGUCGAGCGGGGGAAGGUAGCUUGCUACCGGACCUAGCGGCGGACGGGUGAGUAAUGCUUAGGAAUCUGCCUAUUAGUGGGGGACAACAUCUCGAAAGGGAUGCUAAUACCGCAUACGUCCUCCGGGAGAAAGCAGGGGAUCUUCGGACCUUGCGCUAAUAGAUGAGCCUAAGUCGGAUUAGCUAGUUGGUGGGGUAAAGGCCUACCAAGGCGACGAUCUGUAGCGGGUCUGAGAGGAUGAUCCGCCACACUGGGACUGAGACACGGCCCAGACUCCUACGGGAGGCAGCAGUGGGGAAUAUUGGACAAUGGGGGGAACCCUGAUCCAGCCAUGCCGCGUGUGCGAAGAAGGCCUUAUGGUUGUAAAGCACUUUAAGCGAGGAGGAGGCUACUUUAGUUAAUACCUAGAGAUAGUGGACGUUACUCGCAGAAUAAGCACCGGCUAACUCUGUGCCAGCCGCCGCAGUAA